AACUUUAAGAAUGAAAUAUUAUUGUGUUUGAAUCUGAUGAAAGGUUCUUAUAUCACCACCCAUCGCUACUAUCGAUUGAAUGGUUUAAUAAGGUCAUUGGAUUGUUGUCGUUGUAGUGGCUUUUCUGCUCGACUGAUGCUGAGAUGACCUCAUUUGAAUAUUUAGAGAAAGUAAAGGUCGUAGCAAGGUUUCCGUAGGUGAAUCUGCGGAAGGAUCAUUA
rnacentral:ncRNA from 1 species